AGAGUUUGAUCCUGGCUCAGGACGAACGCUGGCGGCGUGCCUAACACAUGCAAGUCGAACGGGGAGUUAGCAAUAACUCCUAGUGGCGAACGGGUGAGUAACGCGUAGACAACCUACCUUCUAGAUGGGGACAACACUGCGAAAGUGGUGCUAAUACCGAAUGUUGUAUCCGGGUUGCAUAAUCUGGAUACUAAAGGUGGCCUCUAUUUAUAAGCUACCGCUAGAAGAUGGGUCUGCGUCUGAUUAGCUAGUUGGUGGGGUAACGGCCCACCAAGGCGACGAUCAGUAGCCGGUCUGAGAGGAUGAACGGCCACACUGGGACUGAGACACGGCCCAGACUCCUACGGGAGGCAGCAGUGGGGAAUCUUGCGCAAUGGGCGAAAGCCUGACGCAGCAACGCCGCGUGCGGGAAGAAGGCCUUAGGGUUGUAAACCGCUUUCAGUAGGAACGAAAAUGACGGUACCUGCAGAAGAAGGUGCGGCCAACUACGUGCCAGCAGCCGCGGUGACACGUAGGCACCAAGCGUUGUCCGGAUUUAUUGGGCGUAAAGAGCUCGUAGGCGGUUCAGUAAGUCGGGUGUGAAAACUCUGGGCUUAACCCAGAGCCGCCACUCGAUACUGCUGUGACUUGAGUUCGGUAGGGGAGCAGGGAAUUCCUAGUGUAGCGGUGAAAUGCGCAGAUAUUAGGAGGAACACCGGUGGCGAAAGCGCUGCUCUGGGCCGAUACUGACGCUGAGGAGCGAAAGCGUGGGUAGCAAACAGGAUUAGAUACCCUGGUAGUCCACGCCGUAAACG
rnacentral:rRNA from 1 species